CAAUAGCGUAUAUUAACGUUGUUGCAGUUAAAAAGCUCGUAGUUGGAUUUCUGGAGGGAGCGUCGGCCCGUAUUUACGAGUGCGUGACGUCUCUGUCCAUCCUUACGGGAAGGCACGGCAUUGAUUUGUUGUGUCGGAUCGCAUCAUUUACUGUGAAAAAAUUAGAGUGUUCAAAGCAGGCUUUCGCUUGAAUACAUUAGCAUGGAAUAAUAAGAUAGGACUUUGGUGCUAUUUUGUUGGUUGAGCCUAAAGUAAUGAUUAAUAGGGAUAGUUGGGGGCACCUGUAUUGCGUUGUCAGAGGUGAAAUUCUUGGAUUUACGCAAGACAAACAGCUGCGAAAGCGUCUGCCAAGGAUGUUUUCAUUAA
rnacentral:rRNA from 1 species